rnacentral:tRNA from 1 species
GGGGCCGUAGCUCACUUGGUAGAGCGCAUCGAUGGCAUCGAUGAGGCAAGGGGUUCGAUCCCCCUCGGCUCCA